rnacentral:lncRNA from 1 species
GGGCACUAGGCUGGAAAGGAACAGACGUCUAGAGAGCAGGACUUGGAGGUAAUGGCGUGAACCGAGACGGAUGCUAGCAUGCUUUGCCUACCAGUGGCGGUGCUUCAGGAAUAAAUUACACCUGGAAAGGGCCCCCGUGCAUCAUGUUGGCAAUGAUCACGGUUGGCAGAAUGGAUCCCCAGCCAGACUCCACAAUCACAACUCCCAGGAUCUCACCUUUCUGCUUCUCUAUGAAGACCUGAAAGGAGAAGAGAAAGAAAUCUCGAAUCAGCAGCCACGUGUGAUAGGUCCCUGAGCUGGUCCCCUGCCUGUGUGGGGGAAAAAAGAGACACUUCUUUGGGGCUUCCAAUCUAGCAGGGCUGCCUCACCCUCCAGGGCCCCGCCCUCCUGGCUCAGCUUGGGAACAAGUUCCUGGAAGUACCUACAUCUUUGCAGUUUUCCGACUUGGAGAAGUGGAUCAGGUCAUCGUUGUACAUGUCCUGGGUGUUGAGCAGGUCACUGUAUUCCUUCUGGCUGAGGUCUUCUGGGUUGAUGCCAUUGGCCCUGAGGAAUUCCUGGUACGCAACACUGAAUGCCUGUCCUAUGGACUGCGCGAUCAGCUGGGCCUAUAGCAGCACAGGGGAAGAUAGAGAAGCCAGAGGGCGGAUCUGAGCAUCCGAGAAAGCCCUGAGUGGAUCUGCGUGCACCUGAGAGAGAGGCCGUCCCUGGACGUUCUGACCCGAGUCGGUUUUCAUCUGCCUUGCAACUUCUCCUCUAGGAUCUGAAAUGCUUCCUUCCUCUCCACUCUUGAAGUAACAUGAAAUGGCCCAGGAAUUCCUAUUCCUGUUGAUUUCAAAAGUCUAACAAUUCUUCAACUCUAGGGAAUUGUGUUCCACCUUCAUUAUCAAAAAAUUACCCAGACUUCAUUCCCCCCCCCCCCCCAAACUACGGAAAGAUGAAGAAGGCAAACUAAGUUUCAUGACAGGUGUUCUGACACGGUUUCCACAAAGUUGAAAAUGUUUAUGCAGCAGAUUAUAGCAUUUCGAUGUAACACUGAUGAGAUGAACAGGUCAGAGCCGGAAUGGAAGAUUGGAAGAGGCUGCUAAAACCCUCACAAGGCCAAGGAUGGCAGGACUCUGGGAUCAGAGCUGUGCCCCCCUCACUUCAGGGUCAGUGUCAGUCUCACCAUGGACAGCCCCUCUAGAUUGGUCAUGCUGUGGGGAGGGCCUCCUCUGGCCUGUCUGUUCCUUACCCAGCUAGCAUCUACUGAGCUUUGCCAGGAUCCUUCUAACCACACGCUACUGUCAAAACUCACAACAGCCCUGAGAGGCAGGAAUUAUAGUAAGAUACUCAAGAAGAGGAAAACAAAGCACAGGGAGGCUAGGUCAUUUGCCCAGUGUCACACAACUGUGUAGAAUGUGAUUCAAGUCCAGGCAAUCUAGCUCUUCAGUCUACAUUUCCCUUUGUGCAGCUGGCUUAGGCAGGCUUCUCUGGAAUGUCUUGGUUCCCAGUAAAAUGGGGCUAAUAAUACCUGCUUCCCAGAACUCCCUACCUCCUCUGGUCUGAGCAGUGAAGGAGGCAAUAUACACAAAGACCUGGCAGGAGGCAGCAGCAUCUCUCUACUGAUCCGGAUCUCUUCAAGCAAGCUGGGAAGUGACAGGACUUAGACAAAGCUACAAUGAUGCCAACAUUUAAUUCUACAAUGAAACUUUACAAAAUCAC